rnacentral:rRNA from 1 species
CCCUUAGAUGUUCUGGGCGGCCCGCGCACUACACUGGCACUCUCAAUCAGAGCCUGGAUCUAACACUUUGGGGUAUUCUAUGAAGUGGUGUCGUGACUGGGAUUAACCCUUGCAAUUAUUGGUUACGAACGAGGAAUUCCUUGUAAUCGCGGUUUAUCAGCCCGCGUUGAAUGCGUCCCUGCCCUUUGUACACACCGCCCGUCGCUCCUACCGAUGAAUCGUCCGGUGAAGUUCAUGGAGUGGUGGUUGUUCCAGCUGCUGUCGAAGUGAAAUGGACCUCACGAUUUAGAGGAAGGAGAAGUCGUAACA